rnacentral:tRNA from 1 species
GCCCUCAUAGCUCAGGGGAUAGAGCACAGGUUUCCUAAACCUGGUGUCGCAGGUUCAAAUCCUGCUGGGGGCACCA